rnacentral:misc_RNA from 1 species
GGUAUAAGACACAGGUGAAUCAUCGAAUCUUUGAACGCACAUUGCGCCCGCCAGUAUUCUGGCGGGCAUGCCUGUUCGAGCGUCAUUUCAACCAUCAAGCCCCGGGCUUGUGUUGGGGACCUGCGGCUGCCGCAGGCCCUGAAAAGCAGUGGCGGGCUCGCUGUCACACCGAGCGUAGUAGCAUACAUCUCGCUCUGGGCGUGCUGCGGGUUCCGGCCGUUAAACCACCUUUUAACCCAAGGUUGACCUCGGAUCAGGUAGGAAGACCCGCUGAACUUAAGCAUAUCAAUAAGCGGAGGA